CACAUCAGCUUAGUAUUGUUUGAAUAAUAUUUGAGUUGGUCAUACAUGCAAAGGAUAUAUCUGUAUUAUAUACUGGUGUAUUAGGUCCAUAUUUAUAUCAAGGAAAGUUCAGGAUACAAAGUAUUUGAAGGAAACUAGUGUAUCAAGUCCAUAUUUACAUCAUAAUCAAUCAUUUAAGGUUACAACAGCAUUGGGUUUCAUUUUAGGAUACUACAGUAUCAGGUCCAUAUUUACAUCAAAGAAUACACAAGAUACAAUAUUUGAGAGAUACUACUGUAUCAGGUCCAUAUUUACAU